rnacentral:lncRNA from 1 species
UCAUUUAACCCUUAGCCCAAAUAACCCUUUGCUACCGUCCAACCCAAGAAAACCGGACCAAACCCGCCUAUUUUUGACCCGCACAUCUCCCUCCAUACAUAAACCCUGUUAUAUCAUUUCCACGCCCAAACCCUAGAUCUAAAAUAACACUGAAACGGCGCACCCCCUCCCUUUAUUGUUCUUCUUUUUCGUUGAGCCAAGCCUCAACUCGCCUGGAACUCAGGCGAGUUCGCUCAAAUGGUCCCCUCCCCUCCACCUCACCUUUAUUCCAACAGUUUUUGUCAGAAAAAAAAGACGAAUAUUCUAUCCGAAUUGCAUGAUUUCUAUACGAACAGAACGAUUUACUGGAUGAAUGGGAGCCGUGGAUAGAUGUAAAUCGAUCCAUGCCUUCUAUUUGUCCCAAAAAUCGUUGAAAAAUAUGAAGAUUUUCGGAUUUUUUGGGCAGAAACUUUGAGAUUUUUGAAGGUUAUAUAUAUGGGGUAAGUUUUUCUUUUCAAGGUUAAGGAAAAUCAAGGAAAAAUUGGAGAAAAAAAUUUCAGAAAAUUUAGUAGUAUAAUUUCUAAGCUUUUUAAGUUUAUUCUUCUUCUUAGGCCUUUUUUCAAAAACAAAAAAGAAAAUUACAAAUCUCCGCAUUUUCUCUUCGAUCUCUGAUUUUCAAGUAUUGUUUUGGAUUGAAGUUUAAGUGAGGGUUUUGUCACUGGGAUUUGGAGUCUUGGCACUAUGGUUUUUCUGGAUGAUUUUUUGUUGCAAUUUGGAUUUGGUUGGCUGAUCGUUUGAGCCAUUGUUGUUGUCGCUGAAUUUCUUCUCUCAUCCCAGAAUUUCGUUUUUUAUUUUCAGUUGCUUUGCUCAUAAGUAUGUUCUUCAUAAAGUUGUUCUCAGAUCCGCUUGUGAUAUGAAAUUAUUGUUGUUCUUUAGCUAACCUAUGAAAGAAUGGUUAUGAAUCCCACAUAUUAGUACUAAGCUGUGUGUGUUUCAUUUGAUUAAAAGGUGUUUGACAAGCAGUAUGCAAAAAUAGUUACUGUGAUAGAAAAAUUCAUUCCACUUAUUCUUUAAUCAAGAUGUAUUGGUGUCUUUUUAAGACUUACUUAGUUUGUGAUUUGAGAAUAUUUUUGUAGUAAUUGAUGGAUUGUAUGCCGAAAAUUUUAAGCUAAUCAAUAGUUGGUUUGUGUAGUGAACUAAAGGAAAAAGGGUCGAUUUUUUAUAUAAGUUUUGAUUCUGAAGUGGUAUUUCACCUUAUUGCCAUAUCAAAAGCUAGGCCUUUCUAUUGAGUAUUGUCGAGGCUUAUGAUAAUUGAAGGUGUUAUUUGGAGAAAUAAGUGAAAAUUUGAUACAUAAAGUCUGCAGUCCCAGAUAAAGGCACAUAGAUGUUCUUAUCUAAUGUCCUUCGAAUAAAAUAGGCUCAUCUGCAUAUAUUGUGGACAAAGAAAUUUUCUGUUCUUAAAUAUUGAACCAUCCAAAUACCUGAACAUUUUAUGAUGUUUGUUCAUUCACUCUAAAUCAGGUAAAUUGAAAGGCUAAUGUUUAAUCAUUAAUUAGAAGAAUAAAUGUGUGUAGACCAGUCACAUGUGAUUGUAAAGACUGAUUUCUUUUACUUACUUUAUUUUGUCACUAUGUGGAUAUGUUUGUUAGCAUGUCAGAGAUCCCAAUGUAUGAAGACGUCUGAAUUUUCUUCAUGUUUUGUCAAUUAUACAAUAAUUAAAUUACCAUGCAUGUGGCAGAAGGUCACUUCGGCCUGCGUUUUGGGCUUAAUUGUGUGAUUGUCAUCUGGGCUCAAUUCUGAGCCCAAUGAGUGACGAUAUAAUGUCCAUUUCAUUUUUUUAAAAAGGGAAGAGGAGAAGCAAUAAUACAUUGGGCCUGCUGUUGGCACAAUUCCUGCCUCGAUUCGCUUAGGCCUGUUGCGUUACUUUACACGUUAUUCAAAAGUUUGAGCCCAAAGUUUGGAUGGAAAUAUCUUUUGGUUUAAUUAAGUGUGGUCCUCUUAAAAAUGGUUGGAGGCGUGCCAUCUUUCGUCAAAAUUACCCAUGGCCCUCAAUACAAAAUUUAGGAGUAAUUAAUUCUUUAAAUCUCCGUAGUUUGCUUUAGGCACAUUUUUUUAAAAUUAUUACAACUAUGGGUACGGUUUUCGUGACGUGGUUGUGAUAAUUAGUUUUAAAUUAGAUUAAACUAGCACCUUUAGUUUGCCCCUUAAAAUAUAUAAACCCUUUCUCAAAAUGAUUUGAGGUGUGCCAUGCUUAAAACGUAUAAUACAUUGCCCUCACAAAUUUAGAUCAAGAGCUAAUCCUUUUAGAAAAUAAUUUGAGGUAUGCCAUACGCAAACAAAAUCCAUAACCUAUGGCCCUCGCAUAAAUAAAAAAUAUUAGUUUAGAAAUGCCUUGAACCUCCGUAGUUUGCUUUAGGCGUGUUAAUUAAAUAAUUAUCAUAGCUACGGGUACGGUUCCCGUGACGUAGUUGUGACAUCAAAUUACUAAAAUCCAGGGGGUACAAUUAUGUGACCCGGCCACAAUUUAAUAUUUAAAAUUAAAAAUGUUGUAGAUCGUGGGUACGAUUCCCGUGACAUGGUUCGCAAUAUGUAAUAAUAAUUAAAUAAAAGUGGUUAUAAGGUAAAAAAUGCACAAUAUAAUAAAACAUGUAAUAACCCGGGAAUGCCUAACACUUUCUCUCGGGUUAACAGAAUUCCUUAUCUAGAAUUUCUGGUUCGCAGACUUAUAAAGUAAAGUUGAAAUUUCCUCGAUUUGGGAUUUUAAAAUAAACCGUUGACUUGGGACACCAAAUAAACUAUUCCAAGUGGCGACUCUAAUAAUUAAUUAAUCCCAUUUCGAUUUAUGUCACUUUAAUUAAAAAACCUCCCAUAUACCCUCGGGGUGUGUAAAAAGGAGGUGUGACAGCUCUGGCGACUCUGUUGGGGAACAUAACCCAAAACUUUUGUUCGGGGUUUAAGAAUUCGAGCUUAGAAUAACUAUUAUAUUUUGGCUCUGUUCAUCAUCUGAUUUUUACAUAUUUGAUCCUAAUGGGCUAAAUGCCGCUUUUUUUCGCUUUGAUAUUAUUUGAAUUGUAUAUAAACUGUUAUGAAACCCUUAUCUUCUCAUCUUCGGGGAUGUGCACGCUGGCGUGACUCCUCUUUCUGUUAGUGUCAUACCUUGAAAUAAGAAAGAGGCUCGGACAAGUUACAAAGCCAGAUGGCCUUUUAGUUCCCGGUACGUAGCCCUCCCCCCGCUCGAGUUGUCCGCUUGGGUACACAAGUCUAGAACAAUAUACCCAGGUUUUAAACCUAGAAUAACUCAGCCUCAUGCCAGAUUCCUAGUAGGAACAUUUGUUUGCAUCAUGUGCAUUUGACUUUGGGGACUCAACACAAGGGUUGGGUCUGCCUAGGACUGGUGGACCCCAGAAUUAAAGACCAUCCUUAUGCAUAUUUUACGUGCUACUUGUACAAUUAUUUUCCUUGGUUUUCAUGUUGAUCGGUUGCUAGAAUAGGAAUGGAAUUGGGAAAAAUAAAAUUGAGGUAUGAGAGAAUUGAUUACCCGUUUUUUUAAAAAAAAAACUGGUGUCCAAAAUAGGCUGAAACUCUGUCAAAGUUUUUAAAAAAAGAGAGAAAAAGAAUUUGGUUUCAAAAAUUUCAUGUCUUUCUCUAUUUUAUUUUGUCAAAACUGACCGAACUACACAAGUUUGAUUCUCACGGAAUGUGGGAUACGUAGGCAACCCUCAAUGGGUCCAACUCCAUUUUUGCAAAAAUAACCCAAAACACGAAAUAUUGUUAUUCUGUCUUAAAUAAAAUUAGGUAAUGUCGUUCUUGUCUAAAUAGCCCAGAAUGUCCCCAAAAGGACGCUGGAAGGUUGUUUUUACAAGAAUAACCACAUACUGCCCAUUUUCAAAUUUUUGGCUUCCUAGCAAGCACAACCCUAAAAUCUUUCCUUUCGAAGUGCUGAAGGGCCGUAUUUGAAAAAGUAGUCGUGUUAUUUAAAUGUUUGCAAAAUUGACCUCUUUUGUAAAAUUCGUUUUAUUUUAAACUAAUCACCUUAAUUUAAGUGUGUAAAAUGAGCACGAGUCAAAACUUGCCAAUGAAGGUCAUGACCAAGAUUCCUUUGGAACUGUAUAUGUGUUGGGAAGAUCUGGGUGAAUCAGGACAAGAUGUGGUCAACCUUUACUUGGGGGGCUCACUGGGUUAUUGAAGAUCAGGCCUAGAAGAGACAUAAUAAAUGCACUGGUUACAUUUUGGGAUCCAGCUCACAACAUGUUUUAUUUCUCGGAUUUUGAACUCACACCCACUUUGGAAGAGAUAGCUGGGUAUAUUGGGAGUACUGAAGCUCUGAGACACAAGUAUUUGGUCGCUCCAAGAGCUGUCACUCCACACAAGUUUCUAGAUUUGCUAAAGAUAAGUAGGGGGUCCAUUACCCAGAUUUGGCAGCUGGUUUUUCCACUCCACAUUUCAUAUACCAGCAAUAUGGACACAUAGGGGGGUUCAACAAUCCAGAAAGCAGAAUUUGCAGCAAAGGGAACCGACUAAAAUGGGAAGAACACAGGUGCUUCGCUUUCAUGGUGGUAUUUUGGGUCUUCUAGUUCUUCCCAGGAAAGAUGAGAAUAUCGAUGUACGAAUAGCUGGGGUCGUCAACACUUUGCUUACUCAGGCCAAAAGCACCCUCGCACCCAUAAUAGUGUCUGAAAUCUUUCGAGCUCUCACAGCUUGUAAAAGCUGGAGGAGACUUUUUUGAAGGGUGCAACUUGUUGCUACGAAUAUGGAUGAUUGAGCUUCUAUGUCAUCGUCCUCAGUACAUGAACUAUGGGUCGACAGGAGAAAGCUGCAUAUGGGAGUUUUAUACAAGGGUCGACAGGUUUAACAUGGCAGAAGGGGUUGUAGAAUGGAUAUCUUGCCUCCGCUCCGUGACUGCAAAUCAAAUAGAAUGGACGUUGGGUUGGCUUCCUGUUAAUGAAAUCAUAUACAUGCCAGCUACCGGUCCUCAUUUCCUCCUGAUGGGUCUCAGAAGUAUCUAACCUUAUGCCCCAUACUGGGUUUUGAUACAGUUAGGGAGAUGUCAAAUAGUGCCCAAGGAUGAAGACCUUAGCCUUCAUCUAGUCGAUAUCCGUUCUGAUGGCCAGUUUCACAAAACAGUGGUUCGCCAGAUUUGGAGUGAGUGCCAAUAUCUGACAGCAAAUACCUGAGUACGUGAUCUAUCCAGAGGUGAAGUCUCACCCGGUUACCUCGCCUGGUACAAAAGGAAAGUUGAGUUUGGAAGGCCAUCUAAACGACCCUACCUCCAAGAGUUUGUCGAAGCAUCACAAGAACAGUGGGAGUGGUUGACAAAAGAAAAUGAAUAUAGGGCCACCAUAAGCAGGUUAGAAGGACAAAUCAGAGACCUCAAGUUUGCUAGUGAUGUGCAAGCCGCUGCAGAUGAGGGUGAGAAGAAACGAUUAGCCCAAGAAAAUUAAAUCCUCUAGGCCCAGAUCCAAAGGAUGAAGAUAGCUGCUGAGAAUCCGAAAAGAAGCCGAGCAGAUGAAAAACUCAUUCAUGGCCUUAAGAAGAAAAUAUGUGAGUACGGGGAUGAUCUAGAAAAAUCCAAAGGUAGUUUGGCAAGAGCUAGAGCACAGUUGGCAAAGAACGCCGAGAGGCGGGCAGAGUUUGUUCGACAACUAAAAAGGAAAUAUGAGGUAGAAGUCACAAACUUGAAGAAAAAGCUAACUACCCUCGAGAAUGAGAUGGCCAAACAAGCCAAGAGCUUCAAAGACGAGAGAGAACAUUGCUAUGCUUUGAUGGCACAGCUAGAGGGAGACCUACAGCAUUUGCAAGAAUAGAAUCAUACUGCCACUCCUUGAAGGCUAGAUCAGAAGAUUGGGCGUUUGUUGCAAGAAAAGGGUAUCAUCGGUGAAAGGGUUAAAAGAAUCGCCGACUACAUUGUGAUAAAAUGCAACGAAUGUGAGGACAUGACCAGGUCCAUAUUCUUCGCCACAAUGAUGAUCUUUGUCCGCUAGAUAAUGGAGGAUUUCUAUCGCCUCUAGGAUGACAUGGCGCAUAGGCCCGCAACAAGACCAGUUGGUGUUCCUAGGACAAGAGUGGAGGCACUGAUGUACUCCUGAUUGUGUUUUCUUUUCCGAGUCUGGAUUUUCAUUCCCUAAAGUUGGUUUCGAGUUUGUUUUAAGUUUUUAAUUCUCAUGUAUGUAGGGUCGAGUCUUUGUAAUAGAGAAAAUUAGAAAUCUUGUUUUAAUGAAAAGUUUGAAAAACCAAAAAUAUUUUAUUUAUGUUGCACUUAUUCCUUGAACUAUGUGGUGAUCUCAUUCACGCGGCGUCGUGAUACAUAGGCAAUCCUCAUCGGAUCUGGUCAUGAUUUUUAUAAAUACCUCAAAUAAAAGAGAAAAUGUGAAAAAGAGAAAACCAUAACCAAAAAGAAAAGAGAGAAAACAAGGAAAAGAGAAUAAGAACAAGAGAGAAAAUGAGAGCGCAAAAGAGAGCAAGAGAGAAGAUCGGGGAGAUAAACAAAAGCCGGGAUGAGACAUGCAAUCAUUGCAAAACAUGUAGAAACACUUUUAACUGCAUAGGUGCAUCACACCCCCAACGUGCGAUUUCCUAGGUGUUAAUUGCUUCAAACUAACCGGUUUGUUGUCUACUGUUGAGUAUAGGUUCUAUUUUUAAGGUGGUUGGUUUGUGGUAACCUGGCUUCACACCCAUACUUGACAAGAACAAAGGCAGUGUAGAAAUGUCAUCAGAAGGUCAUCCAUCAAUGAUUCCCAUCUCAGUGGAUAGCCUGCUAUUGGUUAUCCCAACCUCAGAGUCAGCGACAACUGAAGAGAAUAGGGCACUACGCCUCUGCAUGCUAGAAAUGUGGGACGCCUGGUCCAAUAGUAGAGAGCUGCCAAGUGUCAUACCCGGUUUCCCCGAAUUAUUUCCCAAAGCAAGUAGAAAUUCCAAUGUCCCAAUAAAUUACCCGAAUACCCCACUUGGAUACCCCACCAUCUCAGCUCACUUCACCGGAACACCUUCUGAGGUUCGCCCCCAUGUGGUUUCGGGAGUGGCCUCCAACAUAUUCACUGCACCACCAACAUCAGCUGCUGUGCAACCCACUUUUCCUAGGCCAUGCUUUGAUCCGUCAUCUUUCACCUUCCAAGUACCAUUUUUUCCACUAGAACCUACCCAAUUCACCACCAAUUCUUACCCUCAAAAACCCCAGUACGAGUUUACCGCGAGAAAGGAGAAGGCUAUAAAAAACCCCGAGUAAGAAGAAAUUACCAGAAAAAUGAGGAGCAUGGAACAAAGCCUUAAGAAUAUACAAGGUUUAAGCGGACAAAAGAGCAUAUCCUACACUUAUUUGCGCAUGUUCCCACAUGUGAAUUAGCCCCUGGAUUUCAAGACCCCAAAGUUCGAAAAGUAUGACGGGCACGGGGAUCCCCUAGGACAUCUCAAGAGGUAUUGCAAUCAAUUAUAAGGGGCAGGCGGAAAAGAAAAGCUCCUAAUGGCUUAUUUCGAAGAGAGUCUAGUUGGCAUUGCAUUUGAGUAGUACAUGGAUGAGGAUAUAUCUCAUUGGCAUAUUUGGGAUGAUCUGGUGCGGGAUUUUGUCAGGUAGUUUCGGUAUAACAUAGACAUAGCUCCCGACAGGAAUUCUCUAUCGAAUCUUAAGAAGAAGUCCUCAGAAAUUUUCCGAGAAUAUACUGUUAAAUGGCACGAACAAGCGGCCAGGGUCAAGCCUCCGAUGGACGAAACGGAAAUGGUUAGUGUCUUUCUACAAGCCCAAGAGGCUGAAUACUUUCAGAAUAUGAUGUCUACAAUAGGGAAAGCGUUUGCCGAGGCCAUCAAGAUUGGUGUGUUGGUUGAGAAUGGUCUGAAAACAGGGCAUAUAUUGAGCCAAUCUGCCAUAAGAUCUACAUCCCAAGCAAUUCAAAGCGGGUCCAGAGGGGUAGCAAAUAGAAAGAAGAAAGAAGAGGUGGCGAUGGCAACUUCAAGUCUGAGAAACCCCCGUCCACCCAAGGGUUACUUCCCUCCAAACACCCUACAACAUUAUUAUCCUCAUCAGGAUGUGGCCUAUUCUAUGGGUCCUCAGCCGUACGCAAUAAUGAACGCCCAGCCAUACGCUCAGCCGCAACAACAGUUCAACCAACACCGAGCUCCAUUUCCUAGAAAUCACCAUCCUUACCAAGAUCAGUAUAAUCCCCGACCUCUACAAAAUAACUUCCUCUACAAUGCCCAUGCUCAGGAGCCACCCAGGAGAACAAACUUCACGCCUAUUGGUGAAUCAUACUCUAGUAUUUUCCCUAAACUCGUCCAAAUGGGUUUGUUGCAACCCGUACCACAAACCAGGCAAAACUAGGAAUGACCCUCCUACCGAGCCGGUGCUCGAUGUGCUAACCAUUUGGGAGCGGAAGGGCAUGACACCGAAGACUGUUGGACUCUAAAAAGGGCUGUUGAAAAUCUCAUAGAACAAAAAUGGAUAGUGCUAAAGGAUGAAGAAAUUCCUAAUGUGACCAACAACCCAUUACCAGCUCACAACAACGGGCCGGUUAUUGGAAUGAUUUGCGAAGAUAAGGAGUUUGAUCCUGCUUUGAAAGCCAUCAUUGCAAUCGCUGAUGUCGAGUAGAAUCCAAAGGCUGUUGCAAAGCAAGACAAGGGGGAAAAAGAGUAAACCCACCCCCCAAAAGUGCAAAAAAGACAAUGGAAACCAAAACUGGGGCAGUACCCCCAAAAGAUGCCAUUCUUUAUGUUCCCCGGGGUCACAGGAAAGAACAAAUGACAUUGAGCCCUCUAAGAAGGUUUGAGCUGAACAAGGGAUCUAAGAUGUACGUGCCUAAAGGGGCCUAUGUGGUACGAGGGCCACUAAUUUCACCAAGGCUAAAUGAGCCCGUGGUUAUUGGCCGCUCAUUGUAGAAGCCCAUGACAUAUCCUACUACCGUCCAAUGGAAUUACAACAAGGCGGUAGUAACCUACAAGGGAAAAGAGAUCCUGGGAGAAGCAAAUGAAACUAACCCAGAUGAGAAAUACCUUAAUGUGGGAGAAGUGAACAAUGCCAAGUAGAAACACUUCCCAAUCAAAAAGCCAGUUAGUGCCGAAAAAGUAGAAGAGUUCUUCCGAAAAAUGAAAACUACGGACUACGAGAUAAUUGACCAUCUCGGAAAGUCUCCUGCUCAGGUUUCUUUGUUGUCUCUGCUAAUAAGCUCAACUGAGCAUUAGAAAGUGUUGAUAAAAACCCUCAAUGAAGCUUAUGUUCCGAUUGAAACCACUGUGGAACAACUGGAAAGGAUGGCGGAAAUAUUCUUCGCAAUCAAUCGGAUUCCUUUAGCAAGAACUAUUUGCCCCCGGAGGGGGCCGCCCACAACAAAGCCCUCCAUUUGACAAUUAAGUGUGAGGGGUACUAUGAUAAAAGAGUCAUGCUGGAUGGCGGAUCCGAAGUUGAUAUCUUCCCUCUCUCAACUUUGCAAAAAAUGGAGAUUAGGACUGAGAGAAUCAGGCCUAACAAUGUCUGUGGGCGUGCCUUUGAUGGCAUCAAGAGAGACGCCAUAGGAGAGAUCGAUUCGAUUGACUAUUGGUCCUGUGGAUUUCGAGGUGACCUUUCAGAUCCUAGACAUGGAAACUUCUUAUAAUUUCCUCUUGGGAAGACCUUGGAUUCACGCGGCAGGGGCCGUACCAUCCUCUCUCCACCAGAUGGUAAAAUUUGAAUAUGAAAAUUAGGAAAUUGUGGUUCAUGGAGAAGACGAGCAGUCAAUUUACCGGGACCCAUCAGUCCCAUGUCUCGAAGCCAGGGAAGGUAGCGAGCAUAUAGUUUAUCAAGCUUUCGAGUUUGUGGUCCCAGAUCAAUGUUAGGACAGAAGCCCUUGUCCUCAGCCUUUUAUGUCAAAUGCAUCCAUCAUGGUCGCUACUGAAAUGAUCAAGCAUGGUUAUAAGCCUGGGAAGGGACUCGGGGCAUCAUUGUAAGGUAUCACAGAACCUAUCACUUUACUUGCCAGCAAGAAGUUCUUCGGUGUGGGUUUUCGCUCCACAGAAGCUGAUGCGACUUGUGCAAAUGAAUGAAAGAGCAAUGGUUAGGUUUUACCUCAGCCUGUUCUGCAUCUCUACAAAACAUUCGUUAGGCCUAAGUACAACAAAGUAGAAGAAGAUGAGGCCUUCACGGCCGAGGAAAUUGAAGAAAUAUGCAGGGCCAUAAGGCAAAUGUUGUAUUGAAACCCACAUGGUUCAGCCAGGAGAAGGCUCGAGCACCGCUGAGGUGCUGUAAUGGGGCCCAAUGCCACAUUGCAGAACUGGAAGGCUACUCCAUUCCCAGUCAGGCGGGAAUCCUGGUAGUCCAGUCUUGCCACCCUUUUCUACAUCACGAGUUAUUUCGGGGUGUAACUUGGAUGUUUCUUUUAGUUUAUUGUCUUUAAAUUCCAAUGUAAACCUUGUUAUCUUCAAAAUUCAAUGAAAUAAAAUCAAUAUUUCAUCGUUCAUCUCUCUUUAUUCUUUUUUAUUUUUGUUACUUUUUCUUAUUUCUUCUUUUAGUUCUAAUAAUGCAGCUUUAAAUAACAUGAUAUGCUUGCGGACUUCAUGCCCAGAUCCGAUCAUGCUGUCUAAUUGUGAAAUAAUGAACCAAGAACUGGAAUACGAUGAAGAAGAGGCUUUCAGGGAAAUAAAUUGAGAAUUGGAACAAUUUGAGAAUAAAGCUAAGCCAAACUUAAAUAAAACUGAGCCGGUUAAUUUGGGUAGUUCUAAAGAGGUCCAAGAUACCAUGAUAAGCAUUCAUAUGGAUGAAAGAACCAGGGAUGCAUUGAUCCAACUUCUGUUCGAAUUCAAAGAUGUGUUUGCUUGGUCCUAUGAUGAUAUGUCAGGCCUAAGUGUUGAUUUGGUGGUCCACAAGUUGCCAACUUAACCCGAUUACCCCCUUGUCCAGCAAAACAAAGGUAGUUCAAAACCGAUAUCAGUGAAAAGAUCAAGGAAACGGUCAUAAAGCAGUUGAAGGAGGGGGUGAUCCGAGUGGCCCAAUACACAACCUGGUUAGCUAAUGUAGUUCCCAUGCCAAAGAAAGAUGGGAAGACUCGAGUGUGUGUUGACUAUCGAGAUCUGAACAAAGCAAGUCCUAAGGACAACUUCCCUUUUGCCAAACAUCCACAUCCUUGUUGACAACUGUGCCAAAUACGAGAUACAAUCUUUCGUGGAUUGUUAUGCAGGAUAUCAUCAGGUGUUGAUGGAUGAAGAGGAUGCGGAAAAGACAGCCUUCACCACACCCUGGAGCACCUAUUGUUACAGGGUCAUACCUUUUGGUUUGAAGAAUCCCGGGGCAACUUAUAUAAGGGCCAUGAUUGCCAUAUUUCAUGACAUGAUGCACCAAGGGAUCGAGGUGUAUGUAGACGAUGUGAUCAUCAAAUAUAGAACACAGGAAGACCAUGUUCGGGACUUGAGAAAAUUCGUUGAGCGGCUGCGUAAGUAUGAUUUGAAGCUAAAUCUAGCUAAAUGUGCAUUUGGGGUUCUGUCUAGCAAACUCUUGGGAUUUAUAGUUAGUCGGAUGGGCAUCGAGCUAGACCCAACAAAGAUAAAGUCUAUACGGGAUUUGCCUCCUCCAAGAACCAAGGAAGAGUUUAUGAGCCUGCUUGGAAGGUUGAACUACAAUAGCCGAUUCAUUUCUCAGUUGACUUCCACAUAUGAACCCAUCUUCAAACUGUUAAAGAAAUAUGUAGAGAUUAAAUGGAUAGAUGAGUGUAAAGAAACCUUUGACAAAAUCAAAGAAUAUCUGUCGAACCCGCCAGUCUUGGUCCCACUUGAACCUGGGAGGCCUUUGUUUUUGUAUUUGAUAGUCUUGAAGAAUUCUUUCGGAUGUGUCCUCGGGCAACAUGAUGUGACCGGAAGGGGAGAGCAUGCAAUCUACUAUCUGAGCGAGAAGUUUACCAGUUAUGAAGCCAAGUACACUUUGUUGGAAAGGACUUGCUGCGCUUUAACUUGGAUCACUCAGAAGCUUAGGCAUUACUUGUUGGCAUACACCACCUAUCUCAUCACCAGGUUGGACCUUUUGAAGUACAUAUUCCAGAAGCCGAUGCCCACAGGGAGGUUGGUAAAGUGGCAGAUCCUGCUCACUAAAUUUGACAUAGUCUAUGUCACCCGCACGGUGAUGAAAGCCCAGGCUCUAGCGGAUUACCUAGCUGAAAUUCCUGUCGAUGACAAAUAUUAGCCCUUGAAUACUUACUUCCCGGACGAGGAUGUGAAUUCAGUUGAGGUAGCAUCAGAAGACACCAAUGCUUGGAAAAUGUUCUUCGAUGGAGCGGUGAACACAAAAGGUGUCGGGAUUGGGGCAAUUUUGAUCUCACCCACUGGUCAACCCUAUCCAGCCACAACCCAACUUUUGUUUUUCUGCACAAACAACACCACCGAGUAUGAUGCCUGCAUUAUGGGUAUGAAUAUGGCAGUCAACAAAGAUGUUGAAGAACUAUUGAUCAUGGGAGACUCGGACUUGAUUAUCCGACAAGCUCAAGGUGAAUGGGAAACUUGGGAUGUCAAGAUUAUUCCAUACAGGCAACAUGUGGAGGAUCUUAGCAAGCGGAUCAAGUCAGUCGAGUUCAGGUACAUUCCUCGUUUUCACAAUGAGUUAGGCGAUGCACUCGCUACUUUGGCCUUGAUGUUGCCGUAUCCAGGAAAUCUCUACAUUGACCCGUUGGAAAUCUAAAUCCGAGAAAGGCAUGGUUACUGCAAUACGGUGGAGGCGGAACCAAAUGUUCAGCCAUGGUAUCAUGAUAUAAAGAGAUUUCUAAAAACGAAAGAAUAUCCCGAGCAAGCCAAUGGAGAUCAAAAGAGAACCAUUAGAAGGCUUGCUAGCAGUUUCUUCUUAAGCAGCGAGGUCUUAUAUAAAAGGACUCCAAAUCCCAACUUGCUAAGAUGUGUGGAUGCCGAAGAGGCGGGAAGAAUCAUGCAUGAUGUGCACGCAGGGGUGUGUGGACCCCACAUGAAUGGAUACGUCAUUCAAAGAAGAUCCUUCGAGCAGGCUAUUAUUGGAUUACUAUGGAAAAGAAUUGCUUCAGUUUUGUCCGGAAAAUGUCAUCAAUGUCAGGUGCAUGGUGAUCUGAUUCAUGCACCACCUACAGAACUGCAUCCUAUGUCAGUGUCGUGGCCGUUCGUUGCCUGGAGUAUGGAUGUUAUUAGGUCGAUAGAACCAAAAGCUUCAAACGGGUAUAGAUUCAUAUUGGUUGCCAUCGACUACUUCAUAAAGUGGGUUGAAGCAGUUACUCUCAAAGUUGUCACUAAGAAAGCUGUGGUAGACUUCGUGCACUCCAAUAUCAUCUGGCGUUUCGGUAUUCCUGCAGCUAUCAUUACGGAUAAUGCUGCAAACUUGAAUAGUCACUUGAUGAGGGAGAUAUGUGAGCAGUUUGAAAUCACGCAUCGAAAUUCUACCCUUAUUGACCCAAAGCUAAUGGUGUUGUCGAAGCAGCAAACAAGAACAUCAAGAAGAUUCUGACAUUAAAAGUUGUCGUUUGCAUUGUUGGGAUAUCGCACAACUGUGCGUACAUCAAUCGGAGCAACCCCAUAUCUUUUGGUUUAUGGAACUGAAGCUGUGAUACCCGCAGAAGCUGAAAUCCCUUCUCUUCGGAUCAUUAUGGAAGUUGAGGUUGAGGAUAGUGAGUGGGUCAAAACUCGUCUAGAACAGUUAGCCCUGAUCGAUGAAAAGCAAAUGGCCGAAGUCUUCCACGAGCAGUUGUAUCAACAAAGAAUGGCCCAUGCCUACAACAAGAAAGUGCGGGCCAGGAACUUUGAAGUGGGACAACUUUUUUUGAGGCGUAUUCUCCCUCACCACCAGGAAGCAAAAGGAAAGUUCGCUCCUAACUAGAAGGGCCCAUACAUUAUCAAAAAAUUAUUGCCAAAAGGGGCGUUGUACCUGGGAGACAUUGAAGGAAAUGACCUUGAAACAGCUAUAAAUACAGACACAGUCAAAAGGUAUUAUGUCUAGGUUGUCUGCAGUAACAAUAUUAUCUGAUUGGGAUGACGAAGGCUUUCAUUCUCACUACCCCAAACACUCCAAUCCUUUGCUAACCCGUUGAGCCGGUUACCUUUAUUUGAUUACCCUCUUUGGAACCUGAAAACAUUUGUAAAAAGAAAAAAAAUCAAAUCAAAACAAAAUAAAAACAAAACAAAAGUGUUCCCUGAACUACGUUCGAUUUGAUUCCGAAAGGAUACGUAGGCAGCCUCUCUCUGGGGUUCAGUCACACCAAAACAAAAAUCCCAUUUCCCCCAAAAGUGAAACUGGGGGAGAUGUUAUAAUGGUUCGGCGAUGAUCCUGCCUGAACGGUUCCAAAGUUGUAAUUCUAUCCAAUUUCUUUUUACCCAAACCUUGUUCAAGUCCUUCCGAUCAAUCGGUAAAAGAUGUUCAAUAUCGGAGAACGUAGUUGUUUGGAUCCAAUGCAAUCAGGAUGAGAUAAAUAAAAUGAGAGAGUCUUAUUGGUGAAAACCCACGGGCACGUAAGGCGAUGGAGAGUAGAGAAAUUGAAAUGAGAGAGUCUUGUUAGUGAAAACUCGUAAAAGAGAACUAUAAGGUGACAGUGAGAAGAAAAAUGAGAGAGGUCAAUUGGCGAAAACCCGCAAAGGGCGUCGUUGAUCGAAAAGAAGGAAUCCCUUACAACCAUUAGCACUGAAAGAGUCCUGGCAAGGUUUCUCGGUUUUAAAACACGGGUCAUAAUGGGUUUAUGAGAAGUUGGAUAGUUGCGCAGAUCGGGUAUCCAGUCCAAGAAGCAUGUCAUGUCUAUUGAAGUCUGCAUGCACUCCAAAUAAGUCCUUCUUUCCUCCCCCGAAAGGGACACUUCUCUUUAAACUCAUUUUCCUGUCUUUUGUUUACUUUUCUUUGAAUCCCUUUCGGUUUAAUUCUUCUCCGAAACUAAUACAAAGAAAAGGUGGCAAGAUUGAUUUUAUUGGGUUCUGCUUAACAAAAGCCAAAUCCAAAGAAAAGCACCCAGCCUCGGCAGAUGCAUCAAGUCGAUCUCGACUAGCCAUGAUGGCCAAUGCUCCAUGUUCAAACUUAUUUGAAAGGGAAAGAAAUUCAAAAUCAAGUGCCCAUAAAGGCGAAAUAAGAGGAAAAAGCCAAAGCCCCAUACGGGUUGAAACAUCGUAUUGAAAGUUUUGGAAAGCCAAAAUCCAUGGUUUUAGAAGAGAGAUUGAUCUCCAGAAAGCCAGCAAGCAACAGAGGUUCUUAUUAAAAGAGUUCGGCCGAGAUCAAGUGAUAAAAACAAUCAAGGCCAGAAAAUCAAUGACCGUUUCAAACUAACAAUUGUUCUUUGUUUGAAAAUAUGAAACAGGUGCAAUCCAAAGAAACCUUGCAAGAAGCGGGUGUAACCAAAAGACACUGCGCAAGUUCUAAAAAACAACUUUGCAGCAACAAUCCAGAAAGGGAAGUCCCCUCCAAAUUCUUUCCCGCAUUUACUCAUUCUAUGAAAUAAAGGAAGAAACAAAUUGAAAAAAAAAGAAAAGAAAAGAGAUAAGAAGAAAUCUAAAAAAUGGUAGCCUAGGAUCCCCAAUCUCUAUUUAUACUUUUCUAACAUAGGGUCUUCACUACUAGUUGAGUUUAUUUUUAGACAUAGGGUCUCCACUCCCUAGUCGUCUUUGCCAACAUAGGGCCUCCACUCCCUAGUUGAGUUUAUUUUUAGACAUAGGGUCUCCACUCCCUAGUCACCUUUGCCAACAUAGGGUCUCCACUCCCUAGUCGCCUUUCCAACACAGGGUCUCCACUCCCUAGUUGAGUUUAUUUUAGACAUAGGGUCUCCACUCCCUAAUCGCCUUUCCAACAUAAGGUCUCCACUCCCUAGUCGCCUUUCCAACAUAAGGUCUCCACUCCCUAGUUGAUUUCAUUUUAGACAUAGGGUCUCCACUCCAUAGCCACCUUUCCAACAUAGGGUCUCCACUGUAUAGCCGCCUUUCCAACAUAGGGUCUCCACUCCCUAGUUGAGUUUAUUUUUAGACGUAGGGUCUCCACUUCCUAGUCGCUUUUCCAACGUAGGGUCUCCAUUCCCUAGUUGAGUUUAUUUUAGACAUAGGGCCUCCACUCCCUAGAUGAUUUUCCAAUAUAGGGUCUCCACUCCCUAGUUGAGUUUAUUUUUAGACAUAGGGUCUCCACUCCCUACUCGCCUUUCCAACAUAGGGUCGACACUCCCUAGUUGAGUUUUAUUUUAGAUAUAGGGUCUCCACUUCUUAGUCGUUUUUCCAAACAUAGGGUCUCCACUCCCUGGUUGAUUUUUAGUAUAGAUAUAGGGUUCCACUCACUAAUCUCUUUCUUCCAAGGAUACACAAUCCCGAUUUUAAUUGCUUUCAAUAAAUAAAUAAUUUAGAUUUUUAUUACAAUAACUCACGAAUUUUUCCUAGUGAAAACUGGGUAGAAAAUUUUGUUGGUUUGUUUGCUUUGGUGCCUAAAAAGGUUUCCACCGUGAGGCACAAGGUUUGAGAUGACCAAAAGAAGAAGUCUCAACCCAAAUAAAAGAAAAUAAGAAACAAGAAAAAAGAAGUUGAACUCAAGGUGCAGAAGCGGAGAAAAGAUGCGGACUACUCAAAAUUUGAUUGAAGUCACAGGCUUUCCAAGUCCCACCUUGAUCCGAAAAGCUGAAGAAAAAUGAAUUGGCCGUUGAAGCUAACGAGCAUCAAGAUUCAGAUUAGAGUAUGCAAGAAGAACCCGCCAAGACUCAAGAUCAAGAUUAGAAGGUUUAUAGAUAGGAAUCUUGUAACUCAUAGCUACUAGGAUUAGCUAGUUUUAGCUUUUCAUCUUUAAUUUUGGUGUAAUAAGGAGCUCAGCAAACAGAAACAGCAGCAACAGCAGUGAAGUCACAGUUUCCCAGUAGUCCCAGUUACCAAAACCUCUAGAACUACACUGACCUGAUUCCUUUAUAGCCAAGGAUAUGUAGGCAACCUCCGAAACAAGGUUCGGUCAAACUUUUUCAAAAUGCUUCCAAAUGGAGUUUCAAACGGGCAAAAAUUGCUUGUAGUUGCUCACUUUAUCUUUGCACGAAAACUCUUCAUGUUUUCGAACAAAGAGGGGCAGCUGUGAGCACGUGAUUUUUGCCCUAUACAAAAUACUCCUAUAAAAUCCCAAGAAAAUAGAUUUUUUCCUAAUUAUUUGCCAUUUUUAGGAAUUUUUGUAGAAUUUCUUAAUUAUUUGCAUUUCUAUGCAUGUUUAAUUUUUAUUUAAAUCAUGAAAAAUUACCAAAAAAAUAAUAAUAUCAUAAAUUGCAUUUAGGAUUUGUUUUUACAUUGUUAAAAUUAAUCAGUAAUUAUAUGUUUUAUAGAAAUUUGAAAAUCACAAAAAUAGUUCUUUUUUACAUUUUUUGUCUUUUAAUUUUUAGCUUAUUGUUUUUCCUCUUUUAAUGUAUAAUUAAGUGAUGUUUAUAAUUUUUAUAAUUAGAUAAUUAGUUUAAUUUCACAUUUUGGAUAAUUUAGGAUUUUAAUUAUUAGGAUUUUUAUUUUAUUUUUUAAAAAAAGCCAGGGAAAGAAAAGGAAAAAUUAGGAAUAAAAGGGAGAAUUGGAAAAGAGUUUCAUUGUUUCGAAAUUGGGCCAUCCUUAACACCCCAGUUCGGCCCAAAGAUUUCCCCCCCUCAAAAUCAUUUAACCCUCAGCCCAAAUAAACCUUUGCUACUGUCCAGCCCAAGAAAACUAGAUCAAACCCGCCUAUUUUUGACCCGCCCAUCUCCCUCCAUACAUAAACCCUGUUAUAUCAUUUCCACGCCCAAACCCUAGAUCUAAAAUAACACUGAAACAACGCACCCCCCCUUUACUGUUCUUCUUCUUCGUUGAGCCAAGCCUCAACUUGCCUGGAACUCAGGCGAGUUCACUCAAAUGGUCCCCUCCCCUCCACAUCACAUUUAUUCCAACGGUUUUUGUUAGAAAAAAAUGGAUAUUAUCUCCGAGUUUCAGGAUUUCUGUACGAACGAAACGAUUUGCUGAAUGAAUGGGAGCCAUGGAUAGAUGUAAAUCGAUCCUUGUCUUCCAUUUGUCCCAAAAAUCGUUCAAAAAUGUGUGGAUUUUCAGAUUUUUUGGGUAGAAACUUCGAGAUUUUUGAAGGUUAUAUAUAUAGGGUAAGUUUUUCUUUUCAAGGUUAAGGAAAAUCAAGGAAAAAUCGGGGAAAAAAUCUUCAGAAAAUUUUGUAGUAUAAUUUCUAGGGUUUUGAAGUUUUUCUUCUUCUUAGGCCUUUUCUUUUCUGAUUGGAGAUCUUUUCAAAAAACGAAAAAGAAAAUUACAAAUCUCCGCAUUUUCUCUUCGAUCUUUGAUUUUCAAGUAUGGUUUUGGAUUGAAGUUUAAGUGGGGGUUUUGUCGAUGGGAUUUGGAGUCUUGGAACUGUGGUUUUUCUGCCUGAUUUUUGGUUGCAAUUUGGAUUUGGUUGGCUGAUCGUUUGAGCCAUUGUUACUGUCGCUGAAUUUCUUCUCCCAUCCAAGAAUUUUGUUUUUUAUUUUCAGUUGCUUUGCUCAUAGGUAUGUUCUUUAGCUCACCUAUGAAAGAAUGGUUAUGAAUCCCACAUAUUGAUGCUAAGUUGUGUGUGUUUCAUUUGGUUAAAAGGUGUUUGACAA